rnacentral:rRNA from 1 species
AAACUUUCAACAACGGAUCUCUUGGUUCUCGCAACGAUGAAGAACGCAGCGAAUUGCGAUACGUAUUGUGAAUUGCAGAUUUUCGUGAAUCAUCGAAUCUUUGAACGCACAUUGCGCCCUGUGGUAUUCCACAGGGCAUGCCUGUUUGAGCGUCAUUU